rnacentral:rRNA from 1 species
AUACGGAGGGUGCAAGCGUUACUCGGAAUCACUGGGCGUAAAGCGCGCGCAGGCGGGCUGAUAAGUUGGAUGUGAAAGCCUACGGCUCAACCGUAGAACUGCAUCCAAAACUGUCAGUCUAGAGUGUGGGAGAGGAAGAUGGAAUUAGUUGUGUAGGGGUAAAAUCCGUAGAGAUAACUAGGAAUACCAAAAGCGAAGGCAAUCUUCUGGAACACUACUGGCGCUGAGGCGCGAAGGCGUGGGGAGCAAACAGGAGUAGAAACCCCAGUAGUCC